rnacentral:misc_RNA from 1 species
GAAAUGCGAUAAGUAGUGUGAAUUGCAGAAUUCAGUGAAUCAUCGAAUCUUUGAACGCACAUUGCGCCCCUCGGUAUUCCGUGGGGCAUGCCUGUUCGAGCGUCAUCUACACCCUCAAGCUCUGCUUGGUGUUGGGCGUCUGUCCCGCCUCCUUCGCGCGCGGACUCGCCCCAAAGUGAUUGGCAGCCGGCGUACUGGUCCCGGAGCGCAGCACAUGUCGCGCAAACGAGUGCCUUGGUACGGCGGCGUCCAUAAGCCCCUCUCUCACGCUCUUGACCUCGGAUCAGGUAGGGAUACCCGCUGAACUUAAGC